UUGAUUGAAAAUGUGCCUGAAGAGGCAAAUACAUUGGGAAGCAAUUCCUAGAAAGAGGUAAUUGCGCACAAAAGGAAAAAAUCUAUCCUAAUGGCAACGUGAACACGGCAUCCACUAUCUCCCAAUUCUGUUAUAACUCACAGAUCAUCAGUUUUCCUCCCAACUCCUUGCUUUCUGAGAAGAAUGACUGGACGGAUCACAU
rnacentral:lncRNA from 1 species